UCUUGGUCAUUUAGAGGAAGUAAAAGUCGUAACAAGGUUUCCGUAGGUGAACCUGCGGAAGGAUCAUUAACCGUUACAAACAGUGUGUGCUGCGGCCCCCGAGGUGAGGCAACGAGCCUUCGGGAGGUCUGGGGUCCGCCCCUUCACGCGCACGCGUCUGCCAUCCUUACUUUACGAGCACCUUCUGUUCUCCCUCGGCAUGCGUCCUGCGCUGCCGUUGGAACUACAAAACUCUUUUUUGCAUCUAGCAUUACCUGUUCCGACAAUAACAAUCGUUACAACUUUCAACAAUGGAUCUCUUGGCUCUGGCAUCGAUGAAGAACGCAGCGAAAUGCGAUAAGUAGUGUGAAUUGCAGAAUUCAGUGAAUCAUCGAAUCUUUGAACGCACAUUGCGCCCCUCGGUAUUCCGUGGGGCAUGCCUGUUCGAGCGUCAUCUACACCCUCAAGCUCUGCUUGGUGUUGGGCGUCUGUCCCGCCUCGGCGCGCGGACUCGCCCCAAAUGCAUUGGCAGCGGUCUUUGCCUCCUCUCGCGCAGCACAUUGCGCUUCUCGAGGUGUCGCGGACACGCGUCCAGUAAGCAACAUUUACCG
rnacentral:rRNA from 1 species